UUAGAUACGAAUGGACAAAAAUGCCCCUGACCAAAAUGAAGGACUAGAUCUCCCAAAUGGAGAUCCAACGGCCAAGGGCGGGCCUAUUUAGGGGAAACCCUAAUUGGGUUUCCCUCACUUGGGGCCAUUCGGCUAAAAGGAGAGGGGACGGGAGAGAUCCUGUAAUAGCGAUCUUCACCCAAAGAAGGAGCUGCUCACAGUGAACCACCGCGAGCCGGGGAGAAGAGAGAGACCGCCCAGCGGUGUUCUCGCCUGAAGAGGAAGAAACAAAGGAAAAAAAUAGAAAAGAAGAGAAAAGAAGAGAAGAGAAGGAGCCGAGGGAGAGAGGGGUAGUGGUCCUGGUGUGACGGUGGCCACGUAUGCGAGGGGGAGAAGUGGGAAGGAGAGAUAGACUGAGGGAAAAAAGAAGUGAGCGGGGUAAGCGAGAGAAUAAGGUUAGCCGAAGGGAAAGAGAGGAGAGCGGGGUAAGGGAGAAAAGAAGACGAGCUGAGGGAGGAGAAGGAAGAAAAGAGGGAGCAGCGUAGGACCACAAAACAGAGAAGAGGAGUGAUUUGCGUGUGCAAACAGUGUGGGCUGAGAGCACGAAAAAAGAAAAGAGAUGUGUGGCCGCGAGUGGCCAGACUGUGAGCGUGCCAAGAUAGUGAUCCACAACCAGGCAUGUCGCCUGCGAACAGAGGAGCCUAGCGGGCCGAUUUGCCCACAAAGGAAAGGGAGACCGAGGGAAGGAGCAUGCACUGGGUUUGGCCACGACCAGGGGUGGUUGCGAGUUCAGGCUUGCGUACAGGGGUCGUUGUCACAUGUGCGGGUGCCUUUCUUACAUGAGGUUAUUAUGCUGCAAGCACUAGUGCUGGAUCCACAGGGGUCUGGGACACUAGAUGCGUGUGGCGUUCCGCUAUUGAGUGGAGGCAAUUAUUUUGGGUAGUUUUCACGUCGGGCUAUGCGAAUUGGACGAGGGAUGCCGUGUAUGGCUAUGGGUACCGACCAAAGGUCACAUUCGUACCUUCUCUAUGUCUAUUGGUCAAAUUCCACUCCAAACUUUCCCACGUGCAUUCCUUCGGGAAUUCCGAACCUGUUCAAGGCAGAUUUCCUAAAUUAACCAUUUAACAUCUCUUGGCGUAACUUAAGUCAUUUUUUUAAUUGGUUAGGAUUAUAUUAAAAUUAAAAUAAUUAGUAACUAAGAGUUAAUUUCAUCAAUACGAAAUUUUAUUAAGGUUAUGUAUAGUUUUGCGUAGGCAUUGUGGAAUUGGAAAAAUGGAGGUGUUAAAGGAUCGUGAAGUGAGUGUUAAGUUUUAUUUGUCCGGAAUGUGGUAAGUACCUUUACGACAUGUUUGGAUGAUGGUUAAGUGAA